rnacentral:ncRNA from 2 species
UUCUUAUCAAGAGCGGCGGAGGGACUGGCCCGACGAUGCCCGGCAACCACCAGACAAUGUCUGGAAAGGUGCUAAUUCCUGUGGGAAGCAAUUCCCAAGAGAUAAGAA